AAGGGAGACCGAAGUCUCGGGAAAGUGCUAAUUUUUCUAAGCCAUGGUUAGACCCCAUGGGUCCCUUG
rnacentral:tRNA from 1 species